rnacentral:rRNA from 1 species
UGGGGAAUAUUGCACAAUGGGCGCAAGCCUGAUGCAGCCAUGCCGCGUGUAUGAAGAAGGCCUUCGGGUUGUAAAGUACUUUCAGCGAGGAGGAAGGCGUUGUGGUUAAUAACCGCAGCGAUUGACGUUACUCGCAGAAGAAGCACCGGCUAACUCCGUGCCAGCAGCCGCGGUAAUACAGGAGGGUGCAAGCGUUAAUCGGAAUUACUGGGCGUAAAGCGCACGCAGGCGGUCUGUCAAGUUCGGAUGUGAAAUCCCCGGGCUCAACCUGGGAACUGGCAUCCGAAACUGGCAGGCUAGAGUCUUGUAGAGGGGGUAGAAUUCCAGGUGUAGCGGUGAAAUUGCGUAGAGAUCUGGAGGAAUACCGGUGGCGAAGGCGGCCCCC